UGUGGCUGAGUGUGUAUACAUUGUUCUAAAGGGGGCUAGGAAGCUACCAAUUACUGCACUCACACAAGCCACAUUCUACUGAAUAGUUGCUUAUUUUGCUGCUCAUUGGGUAGAAAUAGAACCUGCUCUUGAAUCUGGCAAAAGUUUUACAAGGUAUGCAAUAAAUAAAUUACGUUGCAGGGAAAGACAUGCAAAUACACACGAAGUUAACAUAUACGAUUAUCAGACAGGUUUGUGCGAUGUAACAUCUAGAGUUAAUCCGUUAACACUAAAAUGUAGAUUGACACACCGAGUGAAGCUAAGUGUACAAACACGCACAUGAAACAAGUGGCAAAGUUACGGAAUUCCAUGUUCCCAUGCCAUUGCAACAUAUGAGACAACAAUAAGGAGUGUAGGCAGACCAUACCUCAUGGAUACAUAACGAGAUGGAUGGAGGGACACAACGGUCCCUCGCGUUGCACUGUUUGCAGACAAGGGGGAUAUAAUCGAUGAAAAUGUCCUAAACGAGGUGGAAAUGGGACAUAGUUAAUGUAGAAA